UCUAAGAGAAGUGAAAAAUGA
rnacentral:piRNA from 1 species